rnacentral:rRNA from 1 species
GAAUAUUGGACAAUGGGCGCAAGCCUGAUCCAGCCACGCCGCGUGAGUGAUGAAGGCCUUCGGGUUGUAAAGCUCUGUGGGGAGAGACGAAAACGGCCAGGAACAAUACCCUGGUCCUUGACGGUAUCUCCUUAGCAAGCACCGGCUAACUCUGUGCCCGCAGCCGCGGUAAUCCAGAGGGUGCAAACGUUGCUCGGAAUCACUGGGCGUAAAGCGCGUGUAGGCGGACCGGAAAGUCGGGUGUGAAAUCCCUGGGCUCAACCCAGGAACUGCAUCCGAAACUACCAGCCUAGAGUGUCGGAGAGGGAAGUGGAAUUCUUGGUGUAGAGGUGAAAUUCGUAGAUAUCAAGAGGAACACCGGUGGCGAAGGCGGCUUCCUGGACGAUAACUGACGCUGAGACGCGAAAGCGUGGGGAGCAAACAGG